rnacentral:rRNA from 1 species
UGGGGAAUUUUGGACAAUGGGGGAAACCCUGAUCCAGCAAUGCCGCGUGAGUGAAGAAGGCCUUCGGGUUGUAAAGCUCUUUCAGUUGAGAAGAAAAGGUUAUGACUAAUAAUCAUAAUUAAUGACGGUAUCAACAGAAGAAGCACCGGCUAACUACGUGCCAGCAGCCGCGGUAAUACGUAGGGUGCGAGCGUUAAUCGGAAUUACUGGGCGUAAAGGGUGCGCAGGCGGUUAUGUAAGUCAGAUGUGAAAUCCCCGGGCUUAACCUGGGAAUUGCGUUUGAAACUACAUGACUAGAGUGUAACAGAGGGAAGUGGAAUUCCAUGUGUAGCAGUGAAAUGCGUAGAGAUAUGGAGGAACAUCGAUGGCGAAGGCAGCUUCCUGGGUUAACACUGACGCU